rnacentral:rRNA from 1 species
AAGCAACAAAUGCCCUGCUUCCAGGAAAAGCCUCUAAGCAUCAGGUAACAUCAAAUCGUACCCCAAACCGACACAGGUGGUCAGGUAGAGAAUACCAAGGCGCUUGAGAGAACUCGGGUGAAGGAACUAGGCAAAAUGGUGCCGUAACUUCGGGAGAAGGCACGCUGACACGUAGGUGAAGUGAUUUACUCAUGGAGCUGAAGUCAGUCGAAGAUACCAGCUGGCUGCAACUGUUUAUUAAAAACACAGCACUGUGCAAACACGAAAGUGGACGUAUACGGUGUGACGCCUGCCCGGUGCCGGAAGGUUAAUUGAUGGGGUCAGCGCAAGCGAAGCUCCUGAUCGAAGCCCCGGUAAACGGCGGCCGUAACUAUAACGGUCCUAAGGUAGCGAAAUUCCUUGUCGGGUAAGUUCCGACCUGCACGAAUGGCGUAAUGAUGGCCAGGCUGUCUCCACCCGAGACUCAGUGAAAUUGAACUCGCUGUGAAGAUGCAGUGUACCCGCGGCAAGACGGAAAGACCCCGUGAACCUUUACUAUAGCUUGACACUGAACAUUGAGCCUUGAUGUGUAGGAUAGGUGGGAGGCUUUGAAGUGUGGACGCCAGUCUGCAUGGAGCCGACCUUGAAAUACCACCCUUUAAUGUUUGAUGUUCUAACGUGGACCCGUUACCCGGGUUGCGGACAGUGUCUGGUGGGUAGUUUGACUGGGGCGGUCUCCUCCUAAAGAGUAACGGAGGAGCACGAAGGUUGGCUAAUCCUGGUCGGACAUCAGGAGGUUAGUGCAAUGGCAUAAGCCAGCUUGACUGCGAGCGUGACGGCGCGAGCAGGUGCGAAAGCAGGUCAUAGUGAUCCGGUGGUUCUGAAUGGAAGGGCCAUCGCUCAACGGAUAAAAGGUACUCCGGGGAUAACAGGCUGAUACCGCCCAAGAGUUCAUAUCGACGGCGGUGUUUGGCACCUCGAUGUCGGCUCAUCACAUCCUGGGGCUGAAGUAGGUCCCAAGGGUAUGGCUGUUCGCCAUUUAAAGUGGUACGCGAGCUGGGUUUAGAACGUCGUGAGACAGUUCGGUCCCUAUCUGCCGUGGGCGCUGGAGAACUGAGGGGGGCUGCUCCUAGUACGAGAGGACCGGAGUGGACGCAUCACUGGUGUUCGGGUUGUCAUGCCAAUGGCACUGCCCGGUAGCUAAAUGCGGAAGAGAUAAGUGCUGAAAGCAUCUAAGCACGAAACUUGCCCCGAGAUGAGUUCUCCCUGAGACUUUAGGUCUCCUGAAGGAACGUUGAAGACGACGACGUUGAUAGGCCGGGUGUGUAAGCGCAGCGAUGCGUUGAGCUAACCGGUACUAAUGAACCGUGAGGCUUAACCUU